rnacentral:rRNA from 1 species
UCCGCAGUGAAAGCGAGCCUGAAUAGGGCGUUGAGUCGGCGGAGGCAGACGCGAAACCAAGUGAUCUACACUUGGCCAGGAUGAAGUCCCGGUAACACGGGAUGGAGGUCCGCACCGAUAAGCGUUGAAAAGCUUCCGGAUGAGCCGAGUGUAGGAGUGAAAGGCCAAUCAAACUUGGAGAUAGCUCGUACUCCCCGAAAUGCAUUUAGGUGCAGCGUGCGGUGUUAGUCAUGAGAGGUAGAGCGACCGAUAGGAUGAGGGGGUUUCACCGCCUGCCAAGUCCUGACGAACUCCGAAUGCUCAUGAGUCGCAGCCGUGCAGUAAGGGGGCGGGUGCUAAGGUCCGUCCCCGAGAGGAGAAGAAUCCAGACCGCCGUCUAAGGCCCCGGAAUUCUGCCUGAGUUAGUCUAACGAAGUGAGGUCCCGAAGACAGCCAGGAUGUUGGCUUGGAAGCAGCCAUUCAUUCAAAGAGUGCGUAACAGCUCACUGGUCGAGGGUCCUUGCGUGGAUAAUAAUCGGGUAUAAGGCAGAUGCCGAAGGCGCGGGAUAGCAAAUAAUAAAAGUAUCGGUAGGGGAGCAUUCCAUAUGCGCAGAAUGUAUGAGGUAACUCAUGCUGGAGCGUAUGGAAAAGCAAAUGUAGGUAUAAGUAACGAUAAGGGGAAUGAGAUUUUCCCCCGCCGCAAGACCGAGGUUUCCCGGGCAAUGUCAAUCAGCCCGGGGUCAGUCGGGUCCUAAGUUUAAGCCGAACGGCGAGAGCGAUGGCAGAUACGGUCAACAUUCCGUAACUGCCGCAGCAGGCGAUGUGGUGACGGAGGCGUGGAACCGCCGCGGACCGACGGAAUGGUCCGUUAAAGGGUGUAGGUGCUGAGGGAUACAGGCAAAUCCGUAUUCCGAGCCGAACCUGAAAGUAUGCCUUCCUCCUCGGAGGCGGGCAAUAGCGCGGGUAAUCAUACUCCCGAGAAAAACCGCUAAGCAACUGUUGCGGCACCCGUACCGCAAACGGACACACGUGGUCGUGUAGAAUAUACUGAGGCGUUGAGAGAUUCAUGGUUAAGGAACUAGGCAAACUGACCCCGUAACUUCGGGAUAAGGGGUCCUCACAUAAGUGAGGCGCAGAGAAUAGGUCCAGGCAACUGUUUAACAAAAACACAGGGCUGUGCAAACUCGAAAGAUGAAGUAUACAGCCUGACACCUGCCCGGUGCCGGAAGGUUAAGAGGAGAAGUCAUCGCAAGAGAAGCUUUGAAUUGAAGCCCCGGUAAACGGCGGCCGUAACUAUAACGGUCCUAAGGUAGCGAAAUUCCUUGUCGGGUAAGUUCC